rnacentral:snRNA from 1 species
UUGCUCCAGCAGCACAUAUACUAAAAUUAGAAUGAUACAGAGAAGAUUAUCAUGGCCCCUGUGCAAGGAUUACAUGCAAAUUCAUGAAGUGGUACAUAUUUAU